UACGAAGGGGGCUAGCGUUGCUCGGAAUUACUGGGCGUAAAGGGAGCGUAGGCGGGUUAUCAAGUUGGAGGUGAAAGCCCAGGGCUCAACCUUGGAAUUGCCUUCAAAACUGAUAGCCUAGAGUAUGAUAGAGGUAUGUGGAACUCCGAGUGUAGAGGUGAAAUUCGUAGAUAUUCGGAAGAACACCAGUGGCGAAGGCGACAUACUGGGUCAUGACUGACGCUGAGGCUCGAAAGCGUGGGGAGCAA
rnacentral:rRNA from 1 species